ACACGCCCCCUGCCCGGGCGACCCCGCGCCCUGUCCCGCCUCUCGCUGGGCCUCUCCCGAGCGGCGCGCUCUCCUACCGCCGCCAUUAGCCCCAGCCGGAGAAAUCAGGAGCCAAACUCCAAAGCAGUUGGGAUUAUUUUAAAGGAAGAUUUCAUUUGGGGGCUCUUUUUCGUUGCCCUUUUCGAGCCGCGGGGGGAGGUAAAGACAAAUAGAGUACCAUAAAAGGAAAAGCAUGAACAGUAGCCUCUGCUCAUUCUCUGGUUGCACCAGGACACCUGUGCAUCACACAUCAAAUAUUACAGUUUGUGAGCAGUGUUGAAUUAAGCCCCGGGGACUAGAGUCUUACUUACCCACAGAACAAGCAGUCAGAACUACAAGAAUGCUUUGAAGAUGCUGGACUAAGGGUAUAAGAAAGAAGUAAAACAGCUAACAGCACACACUUCAAGAGUGAGAACUCUCUGUCUAACAAACUACUGCUGUGGUCAGCUUACUUGAGAAGUUGGAGAGAAACAGACCACCUUUCUGUUGCCUGUUUGGUGAGAAAUCAUCAACUUAUAGCUAAUUACUGGGCUUUGCUUUGGUUUGGGCUCAUUUAACUUUGAAUACUUGUAGUAAAUAAAGCCUUUUUGUCACUUAUUGAACAAGGUGUCAAUCCUCUGGUUAGGACCUCAUGUUUUUAUUUGCCAACA